GGUUCAGGGGCUGCUGGGAGUCCCUUCUGAAAUGUGUUGUAUUUACUUUUUCAUAUUGGCAGCUGGAAGGGGAAGCCCAUCCCAGCUCGGCAUUGUUGUCUAACAUGGUUAAUCAGAUCCUAUAAUCCUGCUGUGGAAAUAUUGGGCCUCACUCAAAACAAUAGAGACCGAGAAUAUUGUGGUUAAAUUUCAACCAACGGCCUCCCUGGCCUGUUUGCCUAACCCCUACCCCCCUCUCCCGGGCCAGAGUCCUCCUAGCUUUAUGGACCCCUGAUAGGAUUGACGGCCAGUCAGAAAUGGGUGACAGGAGAGGGGAGAAUGGAGUAGGGGAAGGGUGAUCCUUUUGACUGGCACUUCAUCCUGGCUUUUCCCUCCUACCUCAGGCCUUGAAGGCUGAGCAGGGGAUGGUGAAAGGGGUUGGAGCUGGUAGGGAAGCCCCACAGGGUGUGGGUCUCCACUCAGGGAUCAAGAGCAGUGCUGUUGGGAAUCAUGCAUGGUAAAGACAGCCCUUACUCAAGACAGAAAAAGCCUGAUGCCACAUGAGAAGGGAAGACUGCCAGUUUCAUUUAGCAUUGUUGCCUAGCGGGGAUUUCAGGGCGUCCUGUCACGUGAGAGGAAUGGGGAGGCACUAGUUGUGGAAGGCAGAGCUGGUAAUAAUUUAGAUUUUGUUUCAUAGAUAACAGCAAUACUAAUAACGGUGUGAUGACAUUUGAAGGUGAUACUGAUGGCCCUACUUGAGUGGUUUUCUGAUAGUGGUAAUGUCUGUUGUGUUGCCCUCUUUCAUAGGUGUGAAUUAAAUCUGGCAGGAAAAUUUACAUAGUUAGAAUAGCAAGACAAAGGGAAUAGAUCAUUUCAGAAGGAUAAGCUGUACAAUGGUAUUUUGAAUUAAAAAAAAAAAAGAAAGAAAAGAUUGAGUGUCUGGAUUGUGCUAAAGGGG
rnacentral:lncRNA from 1 species